AAGUCGUAACAAGGUCUCCGUUGGUGAACCAGCGGAGGGAUCAUUACCGAGUUUACAACUCCCAAACCCCUGUGAACAUACCUUAUUGUUGCCUCGGCGGAUCAGCCCGCUCCCCGUAAUACGGGACGGCCCGCCAGAGGACCCAAACUCUAUUGUCUUUAGUGUAUCUUCUGAGUAAAACAAACAAAUAAAUCAAAACUUUCAACAACGGAUCUCUUGGUUCUG
rnacentral:misc_RNA from 1 species